GGAUAACCUGCCCUUGGGUCCGGCAUAACCCCGGGAAACUGGGGAUAAUUCCGGAUAACGCACAUAUGCUGGAAUGCUUUAUGCGUAAAAUGGAUUCGUCUGCCCAAGGAUGGGUCUGCGGCCUAUCAGGUAGUAGUGGGUGUAAUGUACCUACUAGCCGACGACGGGUACGGGUUGUGAGAGCAAGAGCCCGGAGAUGGAUUCUGAGACAUGAAUCCAGGCCCUACGGGGCGCAGCAGGCGCGAAAACUUUACAAUGCGGGAAACCGUGAUAAGGGGACACCGAGUGCCAGCAUCAUAUGCUGGCUGUCCAGGUGUGUAAAAUACACCUGUUAGCAAGGGCCGGGCAAGACCGGUGCCAGCCGCCGCGGUAACACCGGCGGCCCGAGUGGUGAUCGUGAUUAUUGGGUCUAAAGGGUCCGUAGCCGGUUUGGUCAGUCCUCCGGGAAAUCUGAUAGCUCAACUAUUAGGCUUUCGGGGGAUACUGCCAGACUUGGAACCGGGAGAGGUAAGAGGUACUACAGGGGUAGGAGUGAAAUCUUGUAAUCCCUGUGGGACCACCUGUGGCGAAGGCGUCUUACCAGAACGGGUUCGACGGUGAGGGACGAAAGCUGGGGGCACGAACCGGAUUAGAUACCCGGGUAGUCCCAGCCGUAAACGAUGCUCGCUAGGUGUCAGACAUGGCGCGACCGUGUCUGGUGCCGCAGGGAAGCCGUGAAGCGAGCCACCUGGGAAGUACGGCCGCAAGGCUGAAACUUAA
rnacentral:rRNA from 1 species